rnacentral:rRNA from 1 species
UACGUAGGGUGCGAGCGUUGUCCGGAAUUAUUGGGCGUAAAGAGCUCGUAGGCGGUGUGUCACGUCGGCCGUGAAAACCUGGGGCUUAACUCUGGGCGUGCGGUCGAUACGGGCAUCACUAGAGUUCGGCAGGGGAGACUGGAAUUCCUGGUGUAGCGGUGAAAUGCGCAGAUAUCAGGAGGAACACCGGUGGCGAAGGCGGCUCACUGGCUCGUAACUGACGCUCAUGCACGACAGCGUGGGGAUCAAACAGG